CGAGUGAAGCGGCAACAGCUCAAAUUUGAAAUCUGGCCCCCCGCGGGCCCGAGUUGUACUUUGGAGAGGACGCUUCUGGCGCGGCGCCGUCCGAGUUCCCUGGAACGGGACGCCGGAGAGGGUGAGAGCCCCGUACGGGCGGCCGCCUAGCCUCUGCGAAGCUCCUUCGACGAGUCGAGUAGUUUGGGAAUGCUGCUCAAAAUGGGAGGUAAAUUUCUUCUAAAGCUAAAUACCGGCCAGAGACCGAUAGCGCACAAGUAGAGUGAUCGAAAGAUGAAAAGCACUUUGAAAAGAGGGUCAAACAGUACGUGAAAUUGUUGAAAGGGAAGCGCCUGUGGCCAGACUUGCGCCCCGCGGACCACCCGGCGCCUCGCGCGCCGGGGCACGCCAGCGGGGCGCAGGCCAGCAUCGGCUCUCUCGGGGGGACAAAGGCCGCGGGAACGUAGCGCCCUCGCGGCGUAUUAUAGCCCGCGGCGCCAUGCCCCCGGGGGGGCCGAGGACCGCGCUCCGGCAAGGAUGCUGGCGUAAUGGCCACCGGCGACCCGUCUUGAAACACGGACCAAGGAGUCAAGCAUUGGGGCGAGUGUCUGGGUGGCAAGCCCGCACGCGGAAUGAAAGUGAACGCAGGUGGGAGCUUCGGCGCACCACCGACCGAUCCUGAUGUCCUCGGAUGGAUUUGAGUAGGAGCCCCGCCGCUUGGACCCGAAAGAUGGUGAACUAUGCCUGUAUAGGGUGAAGCCAGAGGAAACUCUGGUGGAGGCCCGCAGCGGUUCUGAC
rnacentral:rRNA from 1 species